GACGAACGCUGGCGGCGUGCCUAAUACAUGCAAGUAGAACGCACAGUUUAUACCGUAGCUUGCUACACCAUAGACUGUGAGUUGCGAACGGGUGAGUAACGCGUAGGUAACCUGCCUGGUAGCGGGGGAUAACUAUUGGAAACGAUAGCUAAUACCGCAUAAUAUUAAUUAUUGCAUGAUAAUUAAUUUAAAGGUGCAAUUGCACCACUACCAGAUGGACCUGCGUUGUAUUAGCUAGUAGGGGAGGUAACGGCUCACCUAGGCGACGAUACAUAGCCGACCUGAGAGGGUGAUCGGCCACACUGGGACUGAGACACGGCCCAGACUCCUACGGGAGGCAGCAGUAGGGAAUCUUCGGCAAUGGACGAAAGUCUGACCGAGCAACGCCGCGUGAGUGAAGAAGGUUUUCGGAUCGUAAAGCUCUGUUGUAAGAGAAGAACGGGUGUGAGAGUGGAAAGUUCACACUGUGACGGUAUCUUACCAGAAAAGGACGGCUAACUACGU
rnacentral:rRNA from 1 species